rnacentral:misc_RNA from 1 species
CCUACUGGCAGCACACCAUUUAAUCCUGAUGUCUACAGGGGGCCAGUGUUAUCAUCUGCUCCAGCAGUUCCCUUUCCGGCUUCACCAUUUCAAUGUCCUGUCUUGCCUUUUGGGACCAAUUUUCCUCUACCAUCAGCCACAUUUUCAGUUGGUUCAACAACAUAUCUGGAUUCAUCUUCUGGUGGGAGACUUUGCUUUCCCACGGUGCAUUCUCAAGUAUUAGCUUCUGCUGGUGCGGUUCCAUCUCAUUAUCCAAGGCCUUUUGUUGUUAGCCUGCAGGAUAAUAACAAUAUUAGUGCCUCUGAGAGUAGUAGGAAAUGGGGAAGGCAAGGUUUAGACCUCAAUGCAGGGCCUUUGGGCCCAGAUUUGGACGGGAGAGAUGAGACAGCUGCUCUAGCAUCAAGGCAAUUAUCCGUUGCCAGUUCACAGGCCACUGCAGAGGAACAGUCGAGGAUGUUUCAAGUGGCAGGCAGUGGCAUUUUGAAGAGGAAGGAGCCAGAGGGUAGCUGGGAAGGUUAUAAGCAAUCCUCAUGGCAGUAGAGAUGCUUGGCAGCACAAUCCAGUAAUCCAUGAGGCCUUGCUCUUAGAUUGAUACUGGCUAACUUCCAGAGCUCGUCAUCUAACUCUUGCUCUUCAAGGAUGGGUGGUAAGUGAGUUAUUUGAU